rnacentral:rRNA from 1 species
UACGUAGGCAGCAAGCGUUGUUCGGAAUUACUGGGCGUAAAGAGUGUGUAGGCGGUGCUCCAAGUCUGGUGUGAAAUCUCCCGGCUUAACUGGGAGGGUGCAUUAGAAACUGGAAUGCUAGAGGAUGGGAGAGGUAAGCGGAACUCCUGGUGUAGCGGUGAAAUGCGUAGAUAUCAGGAGGAACACCUGUGGUGUAGACAGCUUACUGGACCAUUUCUGACGCUGAGACACGAAAGCGUGGGUAGCAAACAGG